UACAGAGGUCUCAAGCGUUGUUCGGAAUCACUGGGCGUAAAGCGUGCGUAGGCUGCUUCGUAAGUCGUGUGUGAAAGGCGCGGGCUCAACCCGCGGACGGCACAUGAUACUGCGAGACUAGAGUAACGGAGGGGGAACCGGAAUUCUCGGUGUAGCAGUGAAAUGCGUAGAUAUCGAGAGGAACACUCGUGGCGAAGGCGGGUUCCUGGACAUUAACUGACGCUGAGGCACGAAGGCCAGGGGAGCGAAAGGG
rnacentral:rRNA from 1 species